ensembl:lncRNA
CCUUCAACACUCCAUCGUCCUCUAUCAUUCCAUCACUCCUCUAUCACUCUUCAUCACUCCUCUAUCACUCCUUCAUCACUCAUCUAUCACUCCUUUAUCACUCAUCUAUCACUCCUUUCAUCACUCCUCUAUGACUCAUCUAUCACUCCUUCAUCACUCCUCUAUCACACCUUCACCCCCUCAUCUAUCACUCCUUCAUCACUCAUCUAUCACUCCUUCAUCACUCCUCUAUGACUCCUCUGUCACUCAUCUAUCACUCCUUCAUCACUCCUCUAUGACUCCUCUGUCACUCAUCUAUCACUCCUUCAUCGCUCAUCUAUCACUCCUUCAUCACUCCUCUAUCACUCCUUCAUCACUCCUUCAACACUCCAUCGUCCUCUAUCACUCCAUCACUCCUCUAUCACUCCUUCAUCAGUCGUCUAUCCCUCCUCCAUCCUUCCUUCAUCAGUUAUCAAUCUCUCUUGUCUACUUGUCCCGCUGUCUGUCUGUCUGCUUGUGUCACUCUGUUUGUGUGAUUCUGUUGUAACAUUUCCCUAUAAUGAUAAUCAGGCAGCUCUCAGACGUGUUGCUGUCACAGCAGGGAGCCCCUCCCCCAUUCCUGCCGCCCUCAUUAUGACCAUAUAUGGUUAUUUUUUCAGAAUCUCUAUCAGUGACCAGUGAGGAGUUCACCAAUGGUACGUCAGUCUCUCAUCGUCCAAUCAGAUCACUUACCUCACCAUUUCAUUGCAUCCCCCCCCAGCAUCACAAGGAAGCAUCGCUACUGAAAUUACAUUAGCUCUAUGAUUGACAGCUCAAUCUAAAUGUUACCGAGCUGUCUGUCUGACCUGCCAGUCUGUCAUUCUGACUGCUCAAACAUGUCCUUCUUGUGGUUUACUACUAAUUACAACAGCUUUAUGCCACAUUUCUACUUUACUGUACUUUCAACAUAAUAUAUUUCUAUACUUGACUCCACUUCUAACAUACUAUAAUUCUCCUCUCACUGGUUCCCUGUGAUUAUCAGUGGUUCAUACUGGAUCAAACCGAUACUUUUAAAACGAUAUCGGUGCCUCAACCGAUACUACCGAGACAUUUUUUUUAUUGCCACGGCAAAUUUCUUUCUUCAAAUUGAACAAUAUAUUAACUGUUCAGACAAUACUGUAAGCAUAAAUAAAUAAAAAACACUUUUACUACAGCUUCAAACUUUUUAACUUCAAAUUAUAAACAAUAUAUUAACUGUUUACAGUGUUUCUCCUCUGUAAGCACCUGAAGUGUUUAUAUAUGUUAAUAGGAAUUCAGGGAAGAUUAAUAAUUUAAUAUUUGAUUUAUGCUCAUUGUGCAGGAACAUAAGAUAUGUACCAUAUAUUAGAAAGCAUUUGUUGGAUUGACGCUCCUUGUUCUCUCGCUUGAUUGACGUUUGGAUUGCAGCAGGUGCAACAGAGAAGAGCUGCAUGAGGCACGAGAGCCAAUCGCUUUCUACCGUGUGACAGAAUGUAUUAUUUCUAUAUUUAUUUAACGCUUUGCUGUGUAAAAUAAAGAAAAAAACUGGUAUUAAACGAUCUGCUGUAAUUCGCGUGAGGAAAUAACAUCACAUGUUUGCAGCUCAAUGCGGCUUAAUGACAAACAGAACCAAAGGAACAACACUACACCCUCGGUUAACACUUCGGGGUGGUGGUUCAUACCGGUUCUCAGUGGUUUCCUGUGAUUAGCAGUGGUUCAUACCGGUUCUCAGUGGUUCCCUGUGAUUAUCAGUGGUUCAUACUGGUUCUCAGUGGUUCCCUGUGAUGAUCAGUGGUUCAUACUGGUUCUCAGUGGUUCCCUGUGAUUAGCAGUGGUUCAUACUGGUUCUCAGUGGUUCCCUGUGAUUAUCAGUGGUUCAUACUGGUUCUCAGUGGUUCCCUGUGAUUAUCAGUGGUUCAUACUGGUUCUCAGUGGUUCCCUGUGAUGAUCAGUGGUUCAUACUGGUUCUCAGUGGUUCCCUGUGAUUAGCAGUGGUUCAUACUGGUUCUCAGUGGUUCCCUGUGAUUAUCAGUGGUUCAUACUGGUUCUCACUGGAUCCCUGUGAUUAGCAGUGGUUCAUACUGGUUCUCAGUGGUUCCCUGUGAUUAGCAGUGGUUCAUACUGGUUCUCAGUGGUUCCCUGUGAUUAUCAGUGGUUCAUACUGGUUCUCAGUGGUUCCCUGUGAUUAUCAGUGGUUCAUACUGGUUCUCAGUGGUUCCCUGUGAUUAGCAGUGGUUCAUACUGGUUCUCAGUGGUUCCCUGUGAUAUAGCAUGGUUCAUACUGGUUCUCAGUGGUUCAGGUUUGAUGACUCGUUGAACCUUUAACCCUUCAGCCUGAUAACUGUGUUGUGUUGUGUUGUGGAUUCACCUCUUAUGUUUGUCUCUCCUCCCAGUCGUUCCAGUAAAGGUAGCCCCGCCCACGGAGAGAGCCCCCAGUCUUCUAUUGAGGGUUAGCUUGAACCUAGUGUCUGUUCGUAUCUACUGGUCUGUAUUGAUGAUGUGUUACUGUGAACUUCAAGUAAUAAUGAUAUGGAUUAUCAGCACGUUAUGACACAUUAUAGCAAAUUAUCAGCAAUAUUGUGUGUUUUAAUAUGUGGUCCAGCUGUCAGGACAUUGAGACAGGUCAGGCCUGUCUGUCAUCAAAUCACAACAGUGGCAGAAACAUUUUACUCAAUGAUCAGGUUCAUAAAGCACUGAAGAGCUCCCACUCCUCUCUGGAUGUUCCAGCUGAUCUGGGAUAAAAACGAACUUUCACUUGAUUGUUUGUCUCUCUUGUACAAAUGCUGAUGAAAUGUUCUUGUUUAUGCUGAAAUGUUUUGGAAAUGUUGGAUUUUUUUCAGUGUAAAGUUACAUAGAUUUUUUUUACUUUUCAUUUAUUCUUAUAUAAUGAGAUAUGUAUUUAUUUAUUUCAUAAUAUGUUGAUAUUAUUGAUCAUAGUUGUCACCUUUAAUAUGGAUGUCCAAUUGGCGCAGGUGGGUAACAUCGUCCACAAACCGUAUCACCCAAAGGCCGCCGAGCUGUUCCGCUGUGACUAGAGGUCCCACGGUGCAGUGCAAGCGGCGAGUUGGAAUUAAGCCUUACAUCUUCAGAAUUAAAGGUUCAAACUGGUUAAACUGGUUUUUGAUUAUUGUAACUCUAACUUGAAUUUUAAAUUUCUCUAACUAGGUCCAAACGGUUAUAACCAGGUCUAGCUGGUUCUAAGUGGUUUUAAUGGGUUCUGACAGGUUCCAAAUGGUUCUAAAUAAUUUUAACUCUUUCAAGUUUUAUCCUAUUGAGACAGUUAGCAGUUUAAUGCUACAACAGCCAUCGAAAAUCUAGUGAGUCUGUAACUUCCCAUUUUAUUUAAUGUCGUUAAACAGAUUAAAAUUCUGUGAGUUUUUCUGAUAAGAUCAAUAUCGUUUUGAUUUAAUUUGUUGUUAAUAUGUAAUGUAUUAUAUUAUUUAUAUUUUGUCUCAGAAAAUAUUUCCAUGAAACCCACAAGGAAAGAAAUAAGUGUUUUACUUUCGAUCGACAAUUCAAAUGAAAAUAAAAUGUGAAGCAAUAUUGAUAGUUAGUUACAUUCCUCUGUGGUGUUUAUUUGGGUUUAUUAAAUGUCAUUGAAAGUGUUGCUAAAGAAUGAAUCCAGGAGAUUUUGAGAGUUUGUGGUCCCACCAUCAGCUUUUAGUUGGAAAUAUUAACGACAAGCUUUAUGAAUCUGAACUGUAACUGCUGAUCUAUUUAUUCUGCCUGUGUUCGUUGGUAAUGUGAUGCCGAUUAUGUUGUAUUAGUCCAGCAAUGUGUAAGCUAGCUGUUUGCUACCCGUUAGCAGAAUAUGUAUGUGUUCACAUUCAUUUAAGCAUGCGAGUUUAAGAUUUAACAUAGUUUAGCUGAGGGAUAGCAGAGCAUUACUUGAGCGCUAGCUGAGGGAUAGCAGAGCGUUACUUGAGCGCUAGCUGAGGGAUAGCAGAGCGUUACUUGAGCGCUAGCUGAGGGAUAGCAGAGCGUUACUUGAGCGCUAGCUGAGGGAUAGCAGAGCGUUACUUGAGCGCUAGCUGAGGGAUAGCAGAGCGUUACUUGAGCGCUAGCUGAGGGAUAGCAGAGCGUUACUUGAGCGCUAGCUGAGGGAUAGCAGAGCGUUACUUGAGCGCUAGCUGAGGGAUAGCAGAGCGUUACUUGAGCGCUAGCUGAGGGAUAGCAGAACGUUACUUGAGCGCUAGCUGAGGGAUAGCAGAGCCGCUGAACACAGCUCCUCACUGUGAUCAUAGAAACUUCAGUGUUUGGUAUUGAUAUAAAUGUUUACAGAAUAUAUAAAGAUGGUAAUGUACCAUAUAUGUGUAAAGAGGUUAUUUAUUAACCAAAAUAUGCAGCAACCCAGACUCUAGUGUGUAGUAGUGUUGUGUAUGUUGGUGUCAUGUAAUCGGGGACGCUUUGACAUGAAUAAAGUUUGUUUGAAGUUGAAGAGACACAA